rnacentral:rRNA from 1 species
UACGUAGGGGGCGAGCGUUGUCCGGAAUUAUUGGGCGUAAAGAGCUCGUAGGCGGUGUGUCGCGUCGGCCGUGAAAACCUGCAGCUUAACUGUGGGCUUGCGGUCGAUACGGGCAUCACUGGAGUUCGGCAGGGGAGACUGGAAUUCCUGGUGUAGCGGUGAAAUGCGCAGAUAUCAGGAGGAACACCGGUGGCGAAGGCGGGUCUCUGGGCCGAUACUGACGCUGAGGAGCGAAAGCGUGGGGAGCGAACGGG